rnacentral:rRNA from 1 species
UACGGGGGGGGCAAGCGUUGUUCGGAAUUACUGGGCGUAAAGGGCUCGUAGGCGGCCAACUAAGUCGGACGUGAAAUCCCUCGGCUUAACCGGGGAACUGCGUCCGAUACUGGAUGGCUUGAGUUCGGGAGAGGGAUGCGGAAUUCCAGGUGUAGCGGUGAAAUGCGUAGAUAUCUGGAGGAAUACCGGUGGCGAAGGCGGCAUCCUGGACCAUUACUGACGCUGAAUCGCGAAAGCUAGGGGAGCAAACGGG